GCCGAAAUGGUGGAAUUGGUAGACACAAGGNNGGCGUGCGGGUUCAAGUCCCGCUUUCGGCA
rnacentral:tRNA from 1 species